rnacentral:rRNA from 1 species
GGUGAUCUAGCCAUGGGCAGGUUGAAGGUUGGGUAACACUAACUGGAGGACCGAACCGACUAAUGUUGAAAAAUUAGCGGAUGACUUGUGGCUGGGGGGGAAAGGCCAAUCAAACCGGGAGAUAGCUGGUUCUCCCCGAAAGCUAUUUAGGUAGCGCCUCGUGAAUUCAUCUCCGGGGGUAGAGCACUGUUUCGGCAAGGGGGUCAUCCCGACUUACCAACCCGAUGCAAACUGCGAAUACCGGAGAAUGUUAUCACGGGAGACACACGGCGGGUGCUAACGUCCGUCGUGAAGAGGGAAACAACCCAGACCGCCAGCUAAGGUCCCAAAGUCAUGGUUAAGUGGGAAACGAUGUGGGAAGGCCCAGACAGCCAGGAUGUUGGCUUAGAAGCAGCCAUCAUUUAAAGAAAGCGUAAUAGCUCACUGGUCGAGUCGGCCUGCGCGGAAGAUGUAACGGGGCUAAACCAUGCACCGAAGCUGCGGCAGCGACGCUUAUGCGUUGUUGG